GAAGGGUGCAAGCGUUACUCGGAAUUACUGGGCGUAAAGCGUGCGUAGGUGGUUUGUUAAGUCUGAUGUGAAAGCCCUGGGCUCAACCUGGGAACGGCAUUGGAUACUGGCUUACUAGAGUGCGGUAGAGGGGUGUGGAAUUCCCGGUGUAGCAGUGAAAUGCGUAGAUAUCGGGAGGAACAUCUGUGGCGAAGGCGACACCCUGGACCAGCACUGACACUGAGGCACGAAAGCGUGGGGAGCAAACAGGAUUAGAUACCCUGGUAGUCCACGCCCUAAACGAUGCGAACUGGAUGUUGGGUGCAAUUUGGCACUCAGUAUCGAAGCUAACGCGUUAAGUUCGCCGCCUGGGAAGUACGGUCGCAAGACUG
rnacentral:rRNA from 1 species